CUCAAAUAUAUUUACACUAUUCAUAUCCAACACUUAACCAUUUAUUUUAUUUGAGAAAGUUUUAUGAUUAGUAUUUUUAUUGUUAUUAGAUAAUAAAACAUGAAAAGUGUUUUAUGUGUGACUAUUUUUAAAAAUAAUUUUUAAAUUUUUAAAUAAGACAGAUGAUCAAACGUUGAAGAUCAAAUGUUAGACACUAAUA
rnacentral:pre_miRNA from 1 species